UAGAAACAUUUGGGGUGCUGUAAAGCUGAGAUUAUACCCAUUGAACCUGAAACAGUUAAUACUGGCGCAGGGAAAUGUGUGAAUUAUUGU
rnacentral:ncRNA from 2 species